rnacentral:rRNA from 1 species
CCCGGUGAUUAUUUAACGGCCGCAGUUAGGAGCUGUGCUAAGGUAGCGUAGUAAGUUGUCCUUUAAAUGGGGAAAGGAAUGAAUGGUUUGACGUGGAUGUAGCUGUCUCUAGUAAAUAAUGAGAAAUUUUCUUUUUGGUGAAAAGUCUAAAAUUUAAUUAAAAGACGAGAAGACCCUGUCGAGCUUGAAUAAAGGGUGUAGUGAUAUAUUUUAAAAGUUUGGUUGGGGCAACCUAGGAGUAAAAAGAGACUCCUUGAAGGGAUGAAGAUCCAAAAGUUUUGAAGGGAGAAAAAGCUACCGCCGGGAUAACAGCGUUAUCUUUUCUGAGAGAACUAAUUGAAGAAAAG